CGUCAACGAGAAUACACGGGAGUAAAUAUUCUCCAUUUAUUUGCAAUGAGGGAAGGCCUGCAUUGCCUGAACAUUCAAACUAGUUGAGGGAAUAGUUUAACAGUGAACAAAUUGUCUUCCCCCUUUGUAUUGCAAGAAUUUAAAAAGCAAGAAACACACUUAAGACAAUCUAGCUAGCUACAACAAGUCGUUGGGCCUUUUGUGUUGAGUAGUCAUGCAGGUUUGAGAGAGAAGGCGGUAACUAACAGCUAACGUUAGCUUGUUGACUUCUUGUCUUUGGACUUAAAGUAUCUUGUCAUUAAGAGACAUUCCCGAGGGAGAAUUAACCCUGGCUACUGAGUGGAACAGAAGUUGACCGGUGUCUGAAAAUGAUCAUUGAAAACCUAGAUUCCUUGAAAACGUGGCUUUUCAAAACCCUCGAACCCAUUUGUGAUGCAGAUCCUUCUGCCCUCGCUAAAUACGUCGUUGCCUUGGUGAAGAAAGACAAAAGUGAGACGGAACUCAAAGCCCUAUGUAUCGACCAGUUGGACGUAUUUCUACAGAAAGCCCCACUAUUCAUGCCCCCUUGUCCUCCUCCCCUUCAUCAACCACCCCUCGUUCCCUGUCCUGUCUUCUCCCCAGAGACGCAGACCUUUGUCGAUAGACUGUUUGAAGCUGUCAACACCAAAAGCUACUACCUACCUCAGCAGCAGGACCAUCAGCCAGGCCCCGCGGCCAAAGCGGCGGUACACCUGACCAGGACGGACAAAGACGACCAGAGGAAAGAUGAGCCAAGUCGUGAGGAGGACUGGGGCAAGAAGUUCUCCAGGAGAGUGAACUACAGCCCCCCGUCCAGCUCCCGCUACAGCAGAGACAGCAGACGAGGGGAUGGCCGUAAAAGGGAGGACCGUACCAGGAAGCGAAACGAUUACGACCGCAUUCCCCCGAGACGGGACUCGUACCGGGACCGUUACAACCGGAGGAGGGGUCGUAGCGGUAGCUACAGCCGCAGUAGGAGCAGGAGCAAGGACCGGGCCAGGGACCGGGAGAGAGAACGAGACCGCAGUAGCAGGAGUCACAGCAGGAGCAAGGACCGGGCCAGGGACCGGGAGAGAGACCGAGACCGCGGUAGCAGGAGUCACAGCAGGAGCCACUCCAAGAGCAGAGAGCGGGAUGCUGGGAAGUCAAAGUAUGAGCCCGACCGAGGAGACCGGGGGACGGAGGUCGGAGCUGGCGAAGGCCUCCUGCCGAUCCCCACGGCAACCACCACGUUCCCCGUGCCGACCCUCAGCAGCACCAUCACGGUGAUCGCCCCUCAGGGUAACCACAGCAACAGCAUCACCUCGGUGACGGACAGCUGGUCGGACUUCCACCCGGAUCAGUCACUGGACCGGCCUCUUCCGCCACCGCCCUUCAACCGGGGUCCGCCCCCUCAGCAAAGGAAACGUUGCCGUGACUACGACGAGAAGGGCUUCUGUAUGCGCGGAGACAUCUGCCCGUUCGACCACGGCAUCGAUCCAGUGGUGGUGGAGGACGUUAAUCUACCAAACAUGUUCCAAGCCCCUCCCCCUAUCCCGGGGGUCGCCCAGCCCCCGCCCGGCCUACCGCCCCCCCCAGGACCUCCCCCUCUCAUGACCCCACCGCCCGUCAACCUCCGUCCCCCCGUGCCCAUGCCACCCAGCCUGCCACCCAGCCUGCCACCAGGUCCCUCUCUCCAGGCAUCAGGGAUGGACGCUCCUCCUAACUCCAUCACCAGCUCUGUUCCCACUGUUGUAACCACAGGGACACGACCCUUCAUCCCCCAGCCUCCACCUCCUCUCUUCUCACCAGACCAGUAUGACUCUGACAUGUAUAACCCUGAAGACCCCAGCCUCACCAACACAUCCAGGCCUGUAUAUCGCCACAGAGUCAACGCCCAAAGACCCAACCUCAUAGGACUGACGAUGGGGGACGACCUGCCUCACAGAGAUCAGAUGCCCAACAGCAACAGAAUGAGGAUCGUUCUGGACUCGGCCUCUAGGAAGAGAUCUGAUGUCUCACACCACGUAGCGAUGCCCCUCAAGAAACCCUGGGCCGACAAACCCAACUUCAACCGGCAGAACCUCCAGGGUGGGUUCCACAACAAGAACCCUCUUCGCCAGAACCAGAAGGCGUCGUUCGGGUCUAACACCAAGCUGGCGGUCCGUCAGAUCCCCCAGGGACUCAACAACAUCUCCAAGCUCAACGAACACUUCAGCAAGUUCGGCACUAUCGUCAACCUGCAGGUAACCUAUGGUAACGACCCGGAGGGGGCCCUGAUCCAGUUUGACAGUCAUGAGGAGGCUAAGCGUGCUCUGCAGAGUCCUGAGGCCGUUCUCAACAACCGCUUUAUUCGAGUCCUCUGGCACUGUGAGGACGGGAUGGGACCGCAGGGAAUGGGACCGCAGGUAAUGGGACCGCAACACCAUCAACCACAGUCACUCAUGCAGGUGCAGCAGCCAGCCACUAGUCUGAAACAGUCAGUCAAAGACCGUCUGGGCCCUCUGCCUGCUGACAGCUCAGAGCCCAACCAAGACUCCAGUGUUGCCUCUCAGAACGCCUUUAAAUCCAACCUAUCAGUGAAGGAGAGGCUGGGCUUCGCCUCGAAACCAGGAAGUACACCUAGUGGACCGGCAGGAAAGGUGUUCUCCACCUCUACGGGGCUGACUAAGACGGUGUACAACAUGGCUGCUCUGAAAGCAGCCCAGAAGACUGCUCUGUUCGCUGGGGUCGCUGCUACAGAGGAGGCUAUGAAGAAUAAACAGGAAGCCCUGCGGCUCCAACAGGAAAUGAGGAAAAAGAAGCAGGAAAUCCUGGAGAAACACAUCGAGACUCAGAAGCUGUUGAUCUGUAAACUGGAGAUGAACAAGACGAUGAAGGCAGAAGACAAGGCAGUGAUCAUGACGACGCUGGGAACACUCACCAAGAGUAUUACUAAACUACAGCAAGAGAUUAAAGGGAUCUCUAACCCGUCUGGAGUACGGGGGGCGCCCAAGAGCAAGGCUCAGGCUCAGAAGGAGUUGCUGGACACAGAACUGGACCUCUAUAAGAAGAUCCAGUCUGGAGAAGAUUCCGUUCAGCUGAAGAUCAGAUACACACAACUACAGUUAGAGGCAGCUAAGAGGGGGAUCCUGGCUCCAGGGCGGGGCAGAGGGUCCCAUGCUAGAGGCCGUGGGGGCCUGAGGAGCAGGGGUAGGGGUAGGGGUGGCCGGGGUAGGGGUCUCCCUGUCCACUCUACGGUAGACCACAGACCUAAAGCCCUGGAGAUCUCUGGCUUUACUGAGACCGACCUCCAGGAUCUGCUGCCACACUUUGCUCAAUUUGGCGAGUUGGAGGAUUGCCAGAUAGAUGAGGCAUCCUGUCUGGCUGUCAUCACCUACAGGAGCCGACCAGAGGCUGAACAGGCGGCGCUGCACGGUGUUCGUCUGAACAGCUGUGAUCUGCGUCUGUCCUGGCACAAGCCUGCCGUCUUCCUGACCUCCCAGGAGCCUGAUGAGCAGGAGGCAGAUCAUGACGAGUUCCAGGAAGAGUCGCUGAUUGAUGAUGCGUUGCUCCAGGACGACGACGAGGAGGAUGACGACAACGAACCCCGCCCCUGGCGCAGAUGAAGACGGCACCUGAUUGGACGAAAAAUGUUAACGCAAAUUUUUUUUUUUUUUUUUUUUUUGCUUUGCAGUUUCUGAUUGGCUGUUUGUUUUUUUAAACUACUAGACGUAUUUCACAAUAGGUCAGAACCUAAACAGCUAAUUCAUUCUGUUGUGGCGAUUCAGAAGAUUACUAGACAAAGUCACGUGGGAGUUUUAUGUAAAUAUAGUGUUUUGUUCUUCCCGCCUUUUUUUAUUUGUAAAAGUAGUUUAACAUGAAGAUUGGUAACAGUUUUAUUUUUUGUUUAUCGGGUUGAAAUGAAAUGAUACUAGAUUACUUUAGAAAAAAAUGUGGGCGUUGACUUGCUCAGAUAAAAACGGACAUAAAGAGCCCAUGUUGAAACACUGUGCGAUGUUUAAAACGAUGAGAAAUCGCAGAAUGGUGAUUUUACUAAAUGACUGAAGAGUUUGACUGUGUGAUAUUAGGUGGCUUCUUGUGUAAAUAUUUUCCGUCUGGAUUUUAAUGAUUUGUAUGACAGCUUUGCUUCGGGAUUCUUUCUUGGGAUUUAUUUUGAAAUGUCAAAAAAAUAAAGACGUCAAAUGGUCAACAAAAAAAUCUGCUGCAAAAAAAAAAAAAUCCAGAAAAAAGCCUGCAGCUGUGAUGGCAUUGAUGAAACAAAACCAGCUGAAAAAACAUCCCACAGAAAGAGCUGACAAAAUAAAGACCAUUAAAAAAAUAAAAAAUUGUUUCACAAAAAGAGCAAAUUUCCAUAUGGUUUUCCAUUUACCAUAAAAAAAAAUCAGAAGGCAAGAACUAUUUUCCAUGUCCACAUUUGGUGAGGCUCGGUGUCAGAAAGAUGGUCUGGUGUCUCCGUAACGCUAAGUUCUGGUUAUCUCUUGGUGUGGUAUCUCCGUAACGGUAAGUUCUGUUUAUCUCUUGGUAUGGUUUCUCCGUAACGGUAAGUUCUGUUUAUCUCUUGGUAUGGUUUCUCCGUAAUGAUAAGUUCUGGUUAUCUCUUGGUAUGGUAUCUCUGUAACGGUGGUUAUCUCUUGGUAUGGUGAGCAGUGUGGUUCUCUUGGUCUGGUUUCUCCGUAAUGGUGAGCUGUGUGGUUAUCUCUUGGUAUGGUAUCU